rnacentral:rRNA from 1 species
CCUACGGGAGGCAGCAGUGAGGAAUAUUGGUCAAUGGACGAGAGUCUGAACCAGCCAAGUAGCGUGAAGGAUGACUGCCCUAUGGGUUGUAAACUUCUUUUAUAUGGGAAUAAAACGUUCCACGUGUGGGAUUUUGUAUGUACCAUAUGAAUAAGGAUCGGCUAACUCCGUGCCAGCAGCCGCGGUAAUACGGAGGAUCCGAGCGUUAUCCGGAUUUAUUGGGUUUAAAGGGAGCGUAGGUGGAUUGUUAAGUCAGUUGUGAAAGUUUGCGGCUCAACCGUAAAAUUGCAGUUGAAACUGGCAGUCUUGAGUACAGUAGAGGUGGGCGGAAUUCGUGGUGUAGCGGUGAAAUGCUUAGAUAUCACGAAGAACUCCGAUUGCGAAGGCAGUUCACUGGACUGCAAGUGACACUGAGGCUCGAAGGUGUGGGUAUCAAACAGGAUUAGAUACCCGGGUAGUC